GGGGACAUUGUAUAAUGAUAGAUGAGACUGAAGAAAUGGGCAGAGGGCCACAUAGUGGAGAGAGUUUGAAUUUCAUCUUUUAGACACGAAGGAUAUAUUGUACGCUUGGAAAUAAGAGAGAAACAUGAUACAAUUUGGGCUUAAAAGAGGUUACUUUGGUGGUGAUGUAAAGAUAAAUCAUCAGGGAGCAAGUGUAGUAGAGGCAAGAUCAAUUAUAAGACUCAUAUGAUAAUUUGGGUGAGGGAUUUUGAGGCUCUGAACCAAGGUAGUAGAGGUAGGGAUGGAGAAAAGGAUCUGAAAUGGGAGAAAUUUGAAAAAUUGAGCAGAAUGUAUUUUAGUGAUGGCAUCUGUGAAAUGAGGAAAAGGAGGAUUGGGGAUAACACAUUAAGUUUUUAGCUUCAAUGUUUUGGUAGAUGGGUUGUAACACCAGUAAUAGAGUCAGAAAAUGAAUACAGAGGGCAGGAUUAUAUUGGGGAGAGGAGUGGGGACAUAUUGAACUUGGGAUACCCAUGGCAUUUCUGAUAAAUGAUAGCUUAUUGGUUAUCACACAUGUGGAUUGUCUUUUAUCUCCCAGCCUUGGGGGAAAAUGACCUCAGCUGGUCAAGGGACCUUUUCCACGUUUUAUCUUCAUUUUACUCCUCUUUUCUAAGACAACUGUUUGGAAACUAUAGAAACUAAACAUCUGGCAUAACUUACAUAAAUUAAGAAUUUUAUAUACUGAAAGUUCCACCUUUUUGUUUGGAAAAGAGGAAAGCCAAAGUACUGAAAAGAACAAUGUAACUUUUAAAGAAACAAAAUAACUUAAAAUAAUAAAAUAUUUCUUUUAUAAUUUAGGUGUGUGUCCUCUAAGGUAUUGAGUUUUGUAGUUAUGCAGGGUAAUGGAAAGAACAUGUAAAAUAUAGUACCAACAUCUGUUAUGUACUAAGUAAAUGUCAGUUUUAUUCCCCUAGAGUCCUUUAAAAUAGAUAUUUAAAAGUUCAGGUGUAAUUUAGUAGUAAAAUCAUAAACUGAGAGUAAGAAAAAUCUAAAUCCUUUUUUUCUAAUACGUUCUAAUACCUCACUUUGGAUAAAUGUUUUAAUAUCUCCAAGUGAUGGUACAAAAUUGAGAGGGAUGAAUUAGAUAAUGACACUGUGAUCUCUUCUUCCAGCUUUAUAAUCCAAUGCUCCUGUUAUAUUUAUUAAGAGAAAAAAAAUCCACUUAGGAAGCAGCAAGAUUUGGGAAUAAAUCAUAGUGCUCGCAAAAUGUGUGGGCAGAGAAGUGGCAAAUGAUCCUCAAUUGAGCAAAUAAAUAUAUGGUAAUAUAUUUAGGGAAAACUUUUGAUCUGCAAUUUAAGAAUGAUAGUCUCCGACAAGAGUGUCCUUGACAGGCAGGGAGGGCUAGGCUGUGCAUCCCUCUGCUUGCUCUGGAAGGAGAUGGCUCAGCAACUUCUGAGGAGGUUCCUGGCCUCGGAUGUCUCCAGGAAGCCCUCUCAGGGUUGGUGGCAACCCGUCCCUUCUGAAACCCUGCAGACCCCACAGUCCUGCUGGCCUAACUGUUAACACCCAACCCAGCCUGGACAAUAUACACCAUCAGGAUCUCCUCAACGACCUUUAAUAUCCAGGAUGGACCUGACUUUCAAGACGAAGUGGUCAAUAGUGAGACGCCAGCGGUUUUGGAUUUCCACGCACAGUGGUGUGGACCCUGCAAGAUCUUGGGGCCGAGGUUAGAGAAAAUGGUGGCCAAGCAGCAUAGGAAAGUGGUGAUGGCCAAGGUAGACGUUGAUGACCACACAUAUCUUGAUAUUGAGUCUGAGGUGUUGGUGGUGUCCACUGGGUUGGCCAUGAAGAAUUGGAGACAUGGUGGACAAGUUUGUGAGCAUCAAGGAUGAGGAUCAGCUGGAGACCUUCCUGAAAAAGCUGAUUGGCUGACAAGCAGGGACGAGUUCUGGUUCUCUUCCCUGAGUGGGACCCCAAUAGAACUUAGCCCUUCCAUGUGGGCCCUUCCUGCUGCCUCCCACAUGCCUUUUGUCCCCUCCCUCCAGGGCCUGUGGCAGUUCUCCCAGGAUGCAUGGAGAGAGACCGGGCCAGCCAACAGUGCUCCUGGUCAGGCAGUCACACUUUGGUCCUCAUCUCUGGUCCUUCCAGUCUGAAGCCUCAUGCAUGGCUUGUCUGCCACCUGCAUUUCUCUUUCCUGCUGCUGUUUUGUAAAAAGAAAAAGAAAGAAAAAAGCCCAAAUUAGUGAGAGUAAUAUAUAAUUUUAUCAUUUUUGUAGGUCUGUAAUGAAGUUAGUCAUCCCUUCCACCACCUACUGUGAAGAGCAGACCCUGGGUACCACCCUGAAACCCCCUGUAGUCACCCAUCCCCACCCUCCAAAGAGCCCCGUACCACCUAGCCUCCCAGGCAGGGGGGCAGAAAAUGAGUGAUGGGCCGAAGAGCCCUGGAGAGCUUUGACUCUGGAAGGCUCCAGGCACCUCCUUCGCUCCAGGCACCUCCUUCGCCCAUUGGUCCUCUGAGCAGAGAGCUUAACUGAACAAAUAAGACCAAUAAAGCAAGGGUCUGCACC